UACAUAGGUCCCAAGCGUUGUUCGGAUUCACUGGGCGUAAAGGGUGCGUAGGCGGUCGGGUAAGUCUGAUGUGAAAUCUCACAGCUUAACUGUGAAACUGCAUUGGAUACUAUUCGGCUAGAGAGUUGGAGGGGGGACUGGAAUUCUUGGUGUAGCAGUGAAAUGCGUAGAUAUCAAGAGGAACACCAGUGGCGAAGGCGAGUCCCUGGACAACUUCUGACGCUGAGGCACGAAAGCUAGGGGAGCAAACAGG
rnacentral:rRNA from 1 species